rnacentral:tRNA from 1 species
GUAUACAUAGUUUAACAAAAACAUUAGAUUGUGAGUCUAACAAUAGAAGCUCAAAUCUUCUUGUAUACC